UACAGAGGUCUCAAGCGUUGUUCGGAUUCAUUGGGCGUAAAGGGUGCGUAGGCGGCGCGGUAAGUCGGGUGUGAAAUCUCGGAGCUUAACUCCGAAACUGCAUUCGAUACUGCCGUGCUUGAGGACUGGAGAGGAGACUGGAAUUUACGGUGUAGCGGUGAAAUGCGUAGAUAUCGUAAGGAAGACCAGUGGCGAAGGCGGGUCUCUGGACAGUUCCUGACGCUGAGGGACGAAAGCUAGGGGAGCAAACGGG
rnacentral:rRNA from 1 species